rfam:Salmo salar isolate Sally breed double haploid chromosome ssa09, whole genome shotgun sequence.
AAUGCACCAAUUUGUAAGUCGCUCUGGAUAUGAGCGUCUGCUAAAUGACGUAAA